GAUGAACGCUGGCGGCGUGCCUAAUACAUGCAAGUCGAGCGAACAGAUGAGGAGCUUGCUCCUCUGACGUUAGCGGCGGACGGGUGAGUAACACGUGGAUAACCUACCUAUAAGACUGGGAUAACUUCGGGAAACCGGAGCUAAUACCGGAUAAUAUAUUGAACCGCAUGGUUCAAUAGUGAAAGACGGUUUUGCUGUCACUUAUAGAUGGAUCCGCGCCGCAUUAGCUAGUUGGUAAGGUAACGGCUUACCAAGGCGACGAUGCGUAGCCGACCUGAGAGGGUGAUCGGCCACACUUGAACUGAGACACGGUCCAGACUCCUACGGGAGGCAACAGUAGGGAAUCUUCCGCAAUGGGCGAAAGCCUGACGGAGCAACGCCGCGUGAGUGAUGAAGGUCUUCGGAUCGUAAAACUCUGUUAUUAGGGAAGAACAAAUGUGUAAGUAACUAUGCACGUCUUGAGGGUACCUAAUCAGAAAGCCACGGCUAACUACGUG
rnacentral:rRNA from 1 species